rnacentral:sRNA from 2 species
AGGUUCGAUUCGAGCGCAGCGAGAAAGCGUUGCCGUAGGCAACGACCCGAAGGGCGAAGCGCGCAGCGCUGAGUCAUCCUUCCCCCACCACCA